AUACGUAGGGAGCGAGCGUUGUCCGGAAUUACUGGGUGUAAAGGGAGCGUAGGCGGGAGUGCAAGUCAGAUGUGAAAUACAUGGGCUCAACCCAUGGGCUGCAUUUGAAACUGCAUUUCUUGAGUGAAGUAGAGGUAAGCGGAAUUCCUGGUGUAGCGGUGAAAUGCGUAGAUAUCAGGAGGAACACCGGUGGCGAAGGCGGCUUACUGGGCAUUUACUGACGCUGAGGCUCGAAAGCGUGGGGAGCAAACAGGAUUAGAUACCCUGGUAGUCCACGCGGUAAACGAUGAAUACUAGGUGUGGGGGGACUGACCCCCUCCGUGCCGCAGUUAACACAAUAAGUAUUCCCCCUGGGGAGUACGAUCGCAAGAUUGAAACUCAAAGGAAGUGACGGGG
rnacentral:rRNA from 1 species